rnacentral:lncRNA from 1 species
GGAGAGAGGGGAAAAGAAAGUCACCAAGUGAUUUUUCUCUUCUCUCUGCCUUUCUCUGCCUCUACUACCCUCUAAACUCCCCUCCCAUGCCCUGAAUAAACUCUAUUCUAUACUAAAAAAAAAAGAAAGAAAGAAAGAAAGAAAGAAAGAAAGUCACCAAGUUUUAUAGCACUGUUUUCUUAAUAAUUUCUCUAUAAAAUUAAUAUAUGAUAAUUUUUAUUUUCUCCAUUUCUUGUGAGCAAAUUUAUAUAAGACUGGUAUACUUAGCCAAGCCCACUCCUGUUAGCAAAUCUAUAAGCCCGAAACUUUAUUAAUUUAUGUUGACCCAUACUGUAUGUUGACAUUGGAAAAUAUUGCAUAAGACAAGCAUAUGUGUGUAUAAAGCAAUCAAAAUCAUAAAAUUUACGAACUGAUUUGCAGUUAACUUGAUAAGAGAAAACCUCCCCUCCUUAAAGCUCCUGGGACAGAUCGCUAGAAAAAAACAGGAGAAGAGAGUCCACUAAAGAAUUCCAAAAAUGAAGAUAAACAUAAGGGAAGGCAUCACUAAUAAUGAAUGCUGCCAUGUUGCACUCUGGGGUUUGGUUCUUAAACCCACUUGAUAGCUGAGGAAGCAGUCUGCAAAGGUCCUAACCAUGGAGUCUCAAUGGCAGCCAUGGGCACCAGCAGACCAAGUCAGAGACUGUGGGCACCAGGCCUGCUCUGUCUCGGGUACAAGGGCUCUCAAGCGUGCUUUUCUUUUGAGAGCCGUCUGUGUGUAAUGGAGAGUCAGAAUAAGUAAUUAUGCCUUCCCAACCUGCCUAGUGGCAAAGUCUGAGACAGACAAGAACUGUGCAGCCAAGGGUUUGCCUGCAGGCAGCAAAUUUGAGUUCUCUUCAUUCUACAAAGCUGAACUUGGGCAAGCUGAUUGUGUUGAACAUCUCUCUGGUAUGGAAAGGCUGGUGUUCCCCCACAGUGGGUCAGGGAACAAGACUAUAGCUGGUCCUGGUCCUGCAUCUCUACUGGGCUACUUGCACAAUAAGCUGAUGUUUUUUCAAGUACUCUUCUGCAGGUUUAUGUGAAAAUAUGAGCGGUUUCCCCUGCCUGGGUUAUAUGUUCCACUAGAGUUAGCCCUAGUUUAUUUUGAAGCCCUAGGGCUCCCACCCGGGGCCUCUGCAGAGAUAAGCAGUUACUUGUUCCCCACAUAGGGCACAGGCAGGCCUGCUGUGUACCAACCACAAGGCCCUAAGCACUUAGAUCCUCUUCUCACACCCCUCCGCUUUUUUGUGACAAAUUCCAUUUGGUUUCGCAAGACCUGGAAGAGGACAAGAGACACUUGGCACUGCCCCCCAAUCUCCCACGUUCAGGACCAUUUGCAAACUGCUCUAAGGGGAAGCCCCAGACCAACCCCGGACAGACACUCCCGUAAGCGCCAUUGUCUGCGCACGGCUUGGCUUUUCCCAGCUGACCUGCCUGCAAGUGGGGAAAUGUGAAAAGUUAGAGACAAACUGGCUUCCACAGAGGGAGGGGAGCCUUCUUGUACAGAAAGGAAGGAAAUACCUCUGUGGGAUUUCAUUUUUCCCCCUCCUCUUCAUCCAAAAAAAUACAAAGAGACUCUGUCUUAAAUGGGGACGUCAGCUUUAAAUCUUUUAGGUUUGGAUUAACGCUGC